rnacentral:rRNA from 1 species
GAUGAACGCUAGCGGCAGGCCUAAUACAUGCAAGUCGAACGGCAAGAGUUUUAGCAAUAGAGCUCCUAGAGUGGCGAACGGGUGCGUAACGCGUAUGCAACCUACCCUAUACAGGGGGAUAGCCCGGAGAAAUCUGGAUUAAUACCCCAUAGUACUAAGUUGAGGCAUUUUGAUUUAGUUAAAGAUUCAUCGGUAUAGGAUGGGCAUGCGUCUGAUUAGCUAGUUGGCGGUGUAACGGACCACCAAGGCGACGAUCAGUAGGGGUUCUGAGAGGAAGGUCCCCCACACUGGCACUGAGAUACGGGCCAGACUCCUACGGGAGGCAGCAGUAGGGAAUAUUGGGCAAUGGACGAGAGUCUGACCCAGCCAUGCCGCGUGCAGGAAGACGGCGUUCUGCGUUGUAAACUGCUUUUAUCUGGGAAGAAAAAGUCCAUGCGUGGAAAAUUGCCGGUACCAGAUGAAUAAG